UACGUAGGGUGCAAGCGUUGUCCGGAAUUAUUGGGCGUAAAGAGCUCGUAGGCGGUCUGUCGCGUCUGCUGUGAAAACUCGGGGCUUAACCCCGGGCCUGCAGUGGGUACGGGCAGACUAGAGUGCGGUAGGGGAGACUGGAAUUCCUGGUGUAGCGGUGGAAUGCGUAGAGAUCCGGAAGAACACCGGUGGCGAAGGCGGCCUGCUGGGACAGUGCUGACGCUGAGGCGCGACAGCGUGGGGAGCAAACAGG
rnacentral:rRNA from 1 species